rnacentral:lncRNA from 1 species
GCGGGCAGCAGGCAGGACACGUGGAAACGCAACCGCCAGGAGGAAAGGCGGGACACAGCGGGAAGGGAGGUUUGCCUCCCCUCUCUUCCUGUGGUGACCCCCACCUCACUUACAAAAAUCACCACCGACGUUUGGGAACCGUGCACGCCGACUGAAAGCAAAGCUCAGCUGACCUGCGAGGAGUCCCCGGGGAGCUGCCGCGGUGGUCGCCGUUGAGUCCGUCCGUGCCGCUGGGGCCGAGGCAGCUGGAGAUGUGGUCAACGGGCUGAUGGGCACGGCUGUGGGACCCCAUCAUUCCCCUGCCCCGCAUGACUCUGCUCUCCCAGCUCGACUGCUCACUUCAGACUUCCCUUAUGGAAGGAGUUGCCAGAUAGAGCAAGUAAAAUACAGUGUGCCAGACACAGGUUUAUUUCAACACUGGGAAGGCUCCAUUCCUACUUAAACCCAGCAGGGAACAGGGAGCGGUGUGCAGAGGAGGUGGCCUGCCCGGGAAGCCGGCCUUGGUGCUGGGACUGCAGGGAGAGGGCUGUGAGGAAGAGCACAGGCUUCAUGCACAUUGCACAGAGGAGGAGAUUCAUGGGGACAGCAGGCACUGGUUAGGCACAGCGGGAAGGUUAUCGAAGACAAAACACAUUUCUACCCAAGUUUAAAUGACCUGCUAUGCCCACAGAGCUUGAUCCAGAAGUGCACAGUAGAGACGGGGUUUCACCAUGUUAGCCAGGAUGGUCUCGAUCUCCUGACCUCGUGAUCUGCCCGCCUCAGCCUCCCAAAGUGCUGGGAUUACAGGAGUGAGCCACCGCUCCCGGCCCAGAACUUUUAAUAAAUAUAAAUACACAGGUAAUUUUAACACAUAUUCCUGAUGAAAUCAUUAUUAUCUGCAAUGCUUUCAUUCUGCUUUUUCUCUUAACAAUGGCAUAAACAUUUUUCAAGGUCAAUAAAUGUUUUUCAAAAUCGCAUUUGUAUUAGUGGCUGUAUAGUUUUCUAUCAAAUGUGGAAUAAACUCAAUUUAUUUCUCCCUUUUGUUCUUGAACAUUUAAGAUCAUUGGUUCAUAGUUACUAAUCAUGUUACAACAAAUAUUCAUGUAUUCCAAAUUUUGCUCAUUCCUGAUUAUUUCCUUAGAUUUCCAGGUAUGGAAUAAUUAGGUUGAAGUGUUUGAAAUCUUUUUUUGUUGGUUUGUUUGUUUUUGAGAUGUAGCUUCCCUCUGUUGCCCCGGCUGGAGUGCACUGGCAUGAUCUCAGCUCACUCACUGCAACCUCUGCUGCCUGGUUCAAGCGAUUCUCCUGCCUCAGCCUCCUGAAUAGCUGGGGUUACAGGUGCGCACCACCACGCCCGGCUAAUUUUUGUAUUUUUAGUAGAGACAGGGUUUCAUCAUGUUGGCCAGGUGGGUCUCAAACUCCUGACCUCAGGUGGUCCUUCUGCCUUGGCCUCCCAAAGUGCUGGGAUUACAGGCGUGAGCCACUGCGCCCGGCCGAAGUGUUUGAAAUCUUUAAGCAUCCUGGUAAAUAUUGAGUUUUGUCAAUAUUUAGAAAAGUUGCAUGAUUGACAUCGCUUCCACCCAUGUUUCAGAGCAUCUGAUUUGUCAGACCCUCACCAAAAAUGGGCUUUUAUCAAAAUGUAAUAAAAAAUAAAUACAACUUUUCCAAUGACAAAA